rnacentral:rRNA from 1 species
GAUGAACGCUAGCUACAGGCUUAACACAUGCAAGUCGCGGGGCAGCAUGGGGGUUGCUUGCAAUCCCCGAUGGCGACCGGCGCACGGGUGAGUAACGCGUAUCCAACCUGUCCUUCACCACGGGAUAACCCGGCGAAAGUCGGACUAAUACCGUAUGUUGUCCAUUGACGGCAUCCGAUUUGGACGAAAGGCUUGGCGGUGAGGGAUGGGGAUGCGCCCGAUUAGCCAGACGGCGGGGUAACGGCCCACCGUGGCUACGAUCGGUAGGGGUUCUGAGAGGAAGGUCCCCCACACUGGAACUGAGACACGGUCCAGACUCCUACGGGAGGCAGCAGUGAGGAAUAUUGGUCAAUGGGCGUAAGCCUGAACCAGCCAAGUAGCGUGCAGGAUGACGGCCCUAUGGGUUGUAAACUGCUUUUAUGCGGGGAUAAAGUGGCCCACGUGUGGGCUUUUGCAGGUACCGCAUGAAUAAGGACCGGCUAAUUCCGUG